rnacentral:rRNA from 1 species
CCUGGCUCAGGACGAACGCUGGCGGCGUGCUUAACACAUGCAAGUCGAACGGAAAGGCCCUGCUUUUGUGGGGUGCUCGAGUGGCGAACGGGUGAGUAACACGUGAGUAACCUGCCCUUGACUUUGGGAUAACUUCAGGAAACUGGGGCUAAUACCGGAUAGGAGCUCCUGCUGCAUGGUGGGGGUUGGAAAGUUUCGGCGGUUGGGGAUGGACUCGCGGCUUAUCAGCUUGUUGGUGGGGUAGUGGCUUACCAAGGCUUUGACGGGUAGCCGGCCUGAGAGGGUGACCGGCCACAUUGGGACUGAGAUACGGCCCAGACUCCUACGGGAGGCAGCAGUGGGGAAUAUUGCACAAUGGGCGGAAGCCUGAUGCAGCAACGCCGCGUGCGGGAUGACGGCCUUCGGGUUGUAAACCGCUUUCGCCUGUGACGAAGCGUGAGUGACGGUAAUGGGUAAAGAAGCACCGGCUAACUACGUGCCAGCAGCCGCGGUGAUACGUAGGGUGCGAGCGUUGUCCGGAUUUAUUGGGCGUAAAGGGCUCGUAGGUGGUUGAUCGCGUCGGAAGUGUAAUCUUGGGGCUUAACCCUGAGCGUGCUUUCGAUACGGGUUGACUUGAGGAAGGUAGGGGAGAAUGGAAUUCCUGGUGGAGCGGUGGAAUGCGCAGAUAUCAGGAGGAACACCAGUGGCGAAGGCGGUUCUCUGGGCCUUUCCUGACGCUGAGGAGCGAAAGCGUGGGGAGCGAACAGGCUUAGAUACCCUGGUAGUCCACGCUGUAAAC